UUAGCCUGAGACCUGAUAGUGACCGCAUCAGCGGGAAAGCAGGGUGAUCCUAUGCUGCCAAGAAAAUCUUCUAGCGAGGUUCUAGCCGCCCGUACCCCAAACCGACUCAGGUGGUUAGGUAGAGAAUACCAAGGCGAUCGAGUGAAUCGUGGUUAAGGAAUUCGGCAAAAUACCCCCGUAACUUCGGGAGAAGGGGGGCCCAGAGGGUGAAGAAGACUUGCUCUUCUAGCCUGAACGGCCGCAGAGACCAGGGAGAAGCGACUGUUUACUAAAAACACAGGUCCGUGCCAAGUCGCAAGACGAUGUAUACGGACUGACGCCUGCCCGGUGCUGGAACGUUAAGGGGACCGGUUAGCCUCACGGCGAAGCUGAGAACUUAAGCGCCAGUAAACGGCGGUGGUAACUAUAACCAUCCUAAGGUAGCGAAAUUCCUUGUCGGGUAAGUUCCGACCCGCACGAAUGGCGUAACGACUUCUCCACUGUCUCAACCACGAACUCGGCGAAAUUGCACUACGAGUAAAGAUGCUCGUUACGCGCAGAAGGACGGAAAGACCCCGGGACCUUUACUACAGCUUGGUAUUGGUGUUCGGUACGGCUUGUGUAGGAUAGGUGGGAGACUGUGAAGCUGAUACGCCAGUAUCGGUGGAGUCAACGUUGAAAUACCACUCUGGUCGUUCUGGAUAUCUAACCUCGGUCCGUGAUCCGGAUCAGGGACAGUGCCUGGUGGGUAGUUUAACUGGGGCGGUUGCCUCCUAAAAGGUAACGGAGGCGCCCAAAGGUUCCCUCAGCCUGGUUGGCAAUCAGGUUUUGAGUGUAAGUGCACAAGGGAGCUUGACUGUGAGAGUGACAACUCGAACAGGGACGAAAGUCGGGACUAGUGAUCCGGCGGUGGCUUGUGGAAGCGCCGUCGCUCAACGGAUAAAAGGUACCCCGGGGAUAACAGGCUGAUCUUGCCCAAGAGUCCAUAUCGACGGCAUGGUUUGGCACCUCGAUGUCGGCUCGUCGCAUCCUGGGGCUGGAGUAGGUCCCAAGGGUUGGGCUGUUCGCCCAUUAAAGCGGUACGCGAGCUGGGUUUAGAACGUCGUGAGACAGUUCGGUCCCUAUCCUCUGCGCGCGCAGGAAACUUGAGAAGGGCUGUCCCUAGUACGAGAGGACCGGGAUGGACGAACCUCUGGUGUGUCAGUUGUUCUGCCAAGAGCACCGCCGAUUAGCUACGUUCGGAAGUGAUAACCGCUGAAAGCAUCUAAGCGGGAAGCAUGCUUCAAGAUGAGGUUUCCAUGGGGUUUACCCCGAGAGGCUCCCAGCUAGACUACUGGGUUGAUAGGCCGGAUGUGGAAGUGCGGUAACGCAUGGAGCUGACCGGUACUAAUAAGCCGAUAACUUGAC
rnacentral:rRNA from 1 species